rnacentral:rRNA from 1 species
GCGCGCGUAGGCGGAUUAGUCAGUUAGAGGUGAAAUCCCAGGGCUCAACCCUGGAACUGCCUUUAAUACCGCUAGUCUUGAGUUCGAGAGAGGUGAGUGGAAUUCCGAGUGUAGAGGUGAAAUUCGUAGAUAUUCGGAGGAACACCAGUGGCGAAGGCGGCUCACUGGCUCGAUACUGACGCUGAGGUGACGAAAGUGUGGGGAGCAAACAGGAUUAGAUACCCUGGUAG